rnacentral:lncRNA from 1 species
GCAAGCAAUAGUGUAAAAACCAGCAUUGGUAUCGGCUAACGUAAAAAACUGUUCUUCCUCUCCCGCUCACAAAACUUUUGCAAGUAGCUCUCUCUGCGACCUGCUCUCUGCAGCUGUUGCCGCAACUGUUCUUCUUUAUUUUCUUCUUUCUCCGCUCAGUUUCUUGCGAAUAUUCCACCAUUUUCUUUUGAAGCUGAUCAGUCACUUAUAUUUGCUCUAAUUGAAACACCCUCUGCAAGGGUAUCGAAAGAAACCAUUUUCAUGGAUUCGAUAUGGGGACUGCGAACUGGCGUCUGGAUGAAACUGGGACUGUGGCACUGCGUUUUCUCCGAUAAUGACGCCGUUGAGUCGUUGUUGUUUCUGCCUCUGAACGUGUUAGCUGCUGAAGCAUGCCCCAACACCGGCCCGCCCUCGGUGUGUUUUGUUUAUUAAAAAGAGAUUGAGCUCAAAAAAAUUCCUAUUUUUGUCAUGACUGCUGCCUGGUGGCCACUUGGGGUUGGGCGGGCGAGGUCCAGUCUCUAGGCAAGAGCAAAUGCCGAGACGAGGCGCACCCAUUCAUCAUCAUUCCAGGAAACGUUUUGGGAUUUCC